rnacentral:rRNA from 1 species
GCUACUGAAUCAACAAUGUGUCAUUGUUGAUAAGGUAAGGGAAAAGAAAUGAUACUACCUUACUAUUAGUGUCGUCCAAAUACUCGUGCCAGAAGACUCGGUAAGGCGAGAGACGCAAACGUUAGUCGUCUUAAUCAGGCGUAAAGGGUUUGUAGGCGGCUUUAAGAAUUUACUCUUUUCUCAUUAAAAAUGUAGAUUAAAGAAAAAUCAAUUAAAGCUAGAAUCAAGAAGAGGUUAUUUAAAUAAUGCUUGAUAUAGGGUUGAUAUCUAUAGAAUUCAAGUGGAAUACUAACGGCGAAGGCUUUUUUCCAAUAAUGAUUGACGCUGAGAAACUAAGGUGAGGAUAGAAAAAAGGAUUAGAGACCCUCGUAUCCCUCACUGUCAACGAUGAAUGGUAGUUACUAGAAAAAAUAAUCUAGAGACGAUGUUAACACGUAAACCAUUCCGCCUUGUGAGUACGACUGCAAAGUUGAAAACAAAAAAAUUAGUCGGUUUCGGAGCAAACGAAGUGAAGCAUGUUAUUUAA